CAAGGAAUCUUCCGCAAUGGGGGCAACCCUGACGGAGCAACGCCGCGUGCGGGAUGACGCCUUUCGGGGUGUAAACCGCUUUUCUGGGGGAAGAACCUCCCUUCGGGGAGCUGACGGUACCGCAGGAAGAAGGACCGGCUAACUACGUGCCAGCAGCCGCGGUAAUACGUAGGGUCCGAGCGUUGUCCGGAGUUACUGGGCGUAAAGCGCGCGCAGGCGGCGGUGUUGGCCCGGCGUGAAAGCCCCCGGCUCAACCGGGGAGGGUCGUCGGGGACCGCACCGCUUGAGGGCGGUAGGGGCUGGUGGAAUGCCUGGUGUAGUGGUGAAAUGCGUAGAGAUCAGGCGGAACACCCGUGGCGAAGGCGGCCAGCUGGGCCGUCCCUGACGCUGAGGCGCGAAGGCGUGGGGAGCGAACGG
rnacentral:rRNA from 1 species